UCCUCAAUAGUCCAGUGGUUAGGAUAUCUCGCUUUCACCGAGAAGACCCGGGUUCAAUUCCCGGUUGGGGAA